GAAUAAUAUAACCUUCUCGUAUGUUUGUUUUCAUAAUUCAAUUUGCUACUUUUUAAACGUCAAAUGUAUUUAUGUACUGAAAGGAGAUUAUUAUGACUUCAAUCGUAUCAAAGUGCGUCAUCGUUUAAAAAAUGGAAUAAAGCACAAUUAUUUCAAAUGAUGUUUCGCCUCUCACAAAUGGGAAUGGCAAGAGUAAAACAACGCUGUCGCCAUCGAAUGCUAUCAACCAGACUGCAAAUGGAAUUGUAUACAAUAAAGAAUAACAUAAACAACACUGAAAUGGAAAAGCACCCACGGGAGCAGCAGUAUCAGGAAGAGGAGAAUUCUAUGAUGAUACUAAUCGGAGCAAAUCUUCAUUCGAAAAGGUUCCUCUACACACAGCCUUCCUAGUAUAUCUUGGCUUUUACCUGCUCAUAAUAUUGGGCUACAUCAAUCAAUUGAUGUGUGCCCCAAAAGUAGCUAAAGAAAUUAAUCGAGAGAUUUUUUUUCAGGGUUAUGUUACGCUUUACGAUGCCUUCGAGAGCUUCUAAUCACGCUAUAUCUAUCGGAAAGCUCGAGAUUGCUGGAAUCCACCGAUUUGCAUUGUCCUGGCGGAGGUAACCCUCAACGAUCUCAUAAUCAAGGACUACGGUUGGACAUUCGAGUUCAAUAGAACAGAAACACGAUGUCUGAACCUGAAUUACAACUACUUGGGAAAAGAAUCAUGCAUCGAUUAUACUUGGCAUUCGAUUGUCAGGAGUUACAACAAAAGACACAAUAACAUGAAAGAUGUGGACAGUGUUCUGCGACAAUGUACAAUUAAUGGUGAGCCAAAAAUAGGCAAACCAUGGAAAAAAAUGUUGAUAAUUGUCGAAGGUGUUUUCAGUAUGGAGGGUUCAAUUGUCCGAUUGCCUGAGGUUAUUGCAUUAAAGAAGAAAUACAAAGCUUAUUUGUAUUUGGAUGCGGCGCAUAGUGUGGCAGCGAUGGGACCAAAUGGUCGCGGUAUUAUCGACCAUUCUAAUGGGCUUUGGCAGUGCUGGCGGUUAAAUUGAUGAAGUGAUUCAAUAGUCCUAAAUUAUUUAAGUUAACCACGAGAUCUUAAUCUGAUUACUUAUUAAGUUAAAAGGAAUAAAUAAAUAAAGGAAUAAGUUCAUUUAAUAAUUCAUUAAAUAAGAAUGUCAUUUAUUUGAGGUAUGAGAAGGUAUAAGCAUAAAGUUAGUUACUGAAGAU